GAAAGGUUCUGAAUAUAUCUAAUAAUAAUACACAUUUUUUAUGUAACUGGUGAGGUAUCAGUUACAACUAUAUACAACAAUGUCAAAAAGAGGUAUUCUGAUUAAAUUCACUUGGGAUUUUCUCUUAUGGUAAUUUAUUUUCUUAUUAAGAUAGCAGGACUCAGCCUUCUUGUGUAUUUAUCUGACACACCAACAUAUUAUCUCUUG
rnacentral:lncRNA from 1 species